AAUAAGUGUAGCCGUGGAUAUCCGUGCCCAACGUUUGACCGUCCGUCUUAUUUAAAAAAUUUAUGAAAAAUUUAAAAAUAUUUAGUCACGCAUAAAAUACUAUUCAUAUUUUAUCAUCUAAUAGCAAUAAAAAUACUAAUCAUAAAAAAUUUUCAAAUAAGACGAACGGUCAAACGUUGAACGUAAAUAGUGUAAAACUGUACUUAUU
rnacentral:pre_miRNA from 1 species